GGCAGGUUGCCCGAGCGGCCAAUGGGAGCGGACUGUAAAUCCGUCGCGAAAGCUACAGAGGUUCGAAUCCUCUACCUGCCA
rnacentral:tRNA from 2 species